CCUGGCUCAGGAUGAACGCUGGCGGCGUGCUUAACACAUGCAAGUCGAACGGUGAACACGGAGCUUGCUCUGUGGGAUCAGUGGCGAACGGGUGAGUAACACGUGAGCAACCUGCCCCUGACUCUGGGAUAAGCGCUGGAAACGGCGUCUAAUACUGGAUAUGUACCACGAUCGCAUGGUCUGUGGUUGGAAAGAUUUUUCGGUUGGGGAUGGGCUCGCGGCCUAUCAGCUUGUUGGUGAGGUAAUGGCUCACCAAGGCGUCGACGGGUAGCCGGCCUGAGAGGGUGACCGGCCACACUGGGACUGAGACACGGCCCAGACUCCUACGGGAGGCAGCAGUGGGGAAUAUUGCACAAUGGGCGCAAGCCUGAUGCAGCAACGCCGCGUGAGGGAUGACGGCCUUCGGGUUGUAAACCUCUUUUAGCAGGGAAGAAGCGAAAGUGACGGUACCUGCAGAAAAAGCGCCGGCUAA
rnacentral:rRNA from 1 species